rnacentral:rRNA from 1 species
GAUUUCUUCGGAUUGAAGUCUUUGUGACUGAGCGGCGGACGGGUGAGUAACGCGUGGGUAACCUGCCUCAUACAGGGGGAUAACAGUUAGAAAUGACUGCUAAUACCGCAUAAGCGCACAGGACCGCAUGGUCUGGUGUGAAAAACUCCGGUGGUAUGAGAUGGACCCGCGUCUGAUUAGCUAGUUGGUGGGGUAACGGCCUACCAAGGCGACGAUCAGUAGCCGGCCUGAGAGGGUGAACGGCCACAUUGGGACUGAGACACGGCCCAAACUCCUACGGGAGGCAGCAGUGGGGAAUAUUGCACAAUGGGGGAAACCCUGAUGCAGCGACGCCGCGUGAGCGAAGAAGUAUUUCGGUAUGUAAAGCUCUAUCAGCAGGGAAGAAAAUGACGGUACCUGACUAAGAAGCCCCGGCUAACUACGUGCCAGCAGCCGCGGUAAUACGUAGGGGGCAAGCGUUAUCCGGAUUUACUGGGUGUAAAGGGAGCGUAGACGGCAUGGCAAGCCAGAUGUGAAAGCCCGGGGCUCAACCCCGGGACUGCAUUUGGAACUGUCAGGCUAGAGUGUCGGAGAGGAAAGCGGAAUUCCUAGUGUAGCGGUGAAAUGCGUAGAUAUUAGGAGGAACAC